rnacentral:rRNA from 1 species
UACGAACUGUGCAAACGUUAUUCGGAAUCACUGGGCUUACAGGGUGCGUAGGCGGUCUGUUAAGUAGGGUGUGAAAGCCCCCGGCUCAACCGGGGAAUUGCGCCCUAAACUGGCGGACUGGAGUGAGAUAGGGGUGUGCGGAACUUCCGGGUGGAGCGGUGAAAUGUGUUGAUAUCGGAAGGAACGCCGGUGGCGAAAGCGGCACACUGGAUCUCAACUGACGCUGAGGCACGAAAGCCAGGGGAGCGAACGGG